GAUUUGUCUGUUUUAUUCAUUAUUUGUAGGCUUUUCAAUUAAAAGAUAAUAUUUUCUGUUUGAUAACGUGUAUGUUCGAUCUUUAAGUUUGUUAUAUAUGUUACACAUUACUGAAUGAUAUGUAUGUAGACAUGUCUGCAUUUAAUCAAUGUUAAACAUGUACUUGUAAUUUUAAACAUAUAGGCGUCGAUGAUGGCUACGGAUCUUUGCCUCGAAAAUGUUGGUUUCUCUUUCAUUUUGCGGAAAUUUCCCUUCCUGUCGUUUUGUGAUUUUGUCUAAUCUCUGUUGACAUCUUCUCUUAACUUAUUUAUAAGAUCUGGAAUGUAAUCUUUGGGUGUUCCCGUCUAUGUGCUUUCAAGUUUAGAGGUCUCUGUUCGUUUGCACAACACUUAUUCGAUAAAAUGUUGUUCCAACUUUAAAAGAGUGGCCAAUUGAUUCUAUGUAUAACAUAUUUUUAACUUAUAUGAUAGGUUCUUAACAUAGACAAACAAUUUCCAAAGAAUUCAACAAGUCAAGUGAAAUGCUUAAAUCCCAAAUGAAUAUGAUGGAGAUUUCUGUGGAAAAAACAAGAGAAAUUUGACGAUCUCAGUAUUCCCCAUUCUUAGAUAAAGUUUAAGGAGCCACUUAGAGAUCAAUUCAUUUUGUAAACAUUUGAGAAUUUCACCUAGCAAAAGCCGCUAAAACUUUACGAUUAAUAAUCUUUCAGAAAGGGGUGAAACAAGAGGAAACAACUGAAGCUGUUGGAGAGAUGUGUGAUGAACAUGAAACUGAAAAAUAAUAGUAACCUGUAGCAAAAAAAUUGAGGCAUGUGUUGAGAAAGCUGGUGAAUGACUUUAAAUCUAACAAACGAUGAAAAACAUUUAAUACCAGCUGAGAUUGUAUUUUUCCAGUAGAUUCAAAAUAAAUACAAAUUUUUGGUAGAGGAUAUGUGUGUUACUUCUUAACAGUUCAAAGGUAAGAAGACUAUGCGUUCCUUACAUCUAGAAUGGGAGAGUUACUUCUUAGUUUCAAUAUUCUGAAGAUUGGCAUUUGAAUUUUUAUUUUCUGUAUUUAUGUAGACCACUUUAGCAUUGAGGAGUACACUGCCCCACUUCUACAUAUUUGUUUAGCUCUCUUUAUUUGUAAAUAUUGUUUGAAUGAUAACAUGCUCCUUUUUUUCCCCUGUUCCCUUCAUCCUGAAAAUGGCUGCCAAACAAUUGGAGAAGAGAAGUUCAUGCAAAGAGGGUUAAACAUAAGCUCAUUUUGACUCUACAUGGCCAACAAAAGUAGUUUUUUUCAUCUAAUUUCAUUUCUCACUUGCCUUAAGGAUAUGCAUUCAACUUUGUUGACAGCUCGACUACUAAGGUGGUGUUUUUUCCCCAAAGUUGCUUAGAAGAAGGCUACAAAGAAGACUAAACAUAGGCUAACCUGUAAAUAGUUCUCCCAUACAUUAUGUAAACAAUAUGUACUUUAGCAUUUAUCAGUAUGAUGCAUCAUGGAUGUUGUUCCAAAAUGUCUGUAUAUUGUAUCUCACGAUUAGCUAUGAUGCAGUGUUGUCCGACGAUUUGAUACU